rnacentral:rRNA from 1 species
UACGAAGGGGGCUAGCGUUGCUCGGAAUCACUGGGCGUAAAGGGUGCGUAGGCGGGUUUUUAAGUCAGAGGUGAAAUCCUGGAGCUCAACUCCAGAACUGCCUUUGAUACUGAAAAGUUCUUGAGUGAUGGGAGAGGUAAGUGGAACUGCGAGUGUAGAGGUGAAAUUCGUAGAUAUUCGCAAGAACACCAGUGGCGAAGGCGGCUCACUGGCCCAUUCUGACGCUGAGGCACGAAAGCGUGGGGAGCAAACAGG